rnacentral:rRNA from 1 species
GACGAACGCUGGCGGCGUGCCUAAUACAUGCAAGUAGAACGCUGAAGGGAGGAGCUUGCUCUUCUUGGAUGAGUUGCGAACGGGUGAGUAACGCGUAGGUAACCUGCCUUGUAGCGGGGGAUAACUAUUGGAAACGAUAGCUAAUACCGCAUAACAAUGGAUGACCCAUGUCAUUUAUUUGAAAGGGGCAAAUGCUCCACUACAAGAUGGACCUGCGUUGUAUUAGCUAGUAGGUGAGGUAACGGCUCACCUAGGCGACGAUACAUAGCCGACCUGAGAGGGUGAUCGGCCACACUGGGACUGAGACACGGCCCAGACUCCUACGGGAGGCAGCAGUAGGGAAUCUUCGGCAAUGGGGGCAACCCUGACCGAGCAACGCCGCGUGAGUGAAGAAGGUUUUCGGAUCGUAAAGCUCUGUUGUAAGUCAAGAACGAGUGUGAGAGUGGAAAGUUCACACUGUGACGGUAGCUUACCAGAAAGGGACGGCUAACUACGUGCCAGCAGCCGCGGUAAUACGUAGGUCCCGAGCGUUGUCCGGAUUUAUUGGGCGUAAAGCGAGCGCAGGCGGUUUGAUAAGUCUGAAGUUAAAGGCUGUGGCUCAACCAUAGUUCGCUUUGGAAACUGUCAAACUUGAGUGCAGAAGGGGAGAGUGGAAUUCCAUGUGUAGCGGUGAAAUGCGUAGAUAUAUGGAGGAACACCGGUGGCGAAAGCGGCUCUCUGGUCUGUAACUGACGCUGAGGCUCGAAAGCGUGGGGAGCGAACAGGAUUAGAUACCCUGGUAGUCCACGCCGUAAACGAUGAGUGCUAGGUGUUGGAUCCUUUCCGGGAUUCAGUGCCGCAGCUAACGCAUUAAGCACUCCGCCUGGGGAGUACGACCGCAAGGUUGAAACUCAAAGGAAUUGACGGGGGCCCGCACAAGCGGUGGAGCAUGUGGUUUAAUUCGAAGCAACGCGAAGAACCUUACCAGGUCUUGACAUCCCGAUGCUAUUUCUAGAGAUAGGAAGUUACUUCGGUACAUCGGUGACAGGUGGUGCAUGGUUGUCGUCAGCUCGUGUCGUGAGAUGUUGGGUUAAGUCCCGCAACGAGCGCAACCCCUAUUGUUAGUUGCCAUCAUUCAGUUGGGCACUCUAGCGAGACUGCCGGUAAUAAACCGGAGGAAGGUGGGGAUGACGUCAAAUCAUCAUGCCCCUUAUGACCUGGGCUACACACGUGCUACAAUGGUUGGUACAACGAGUUGCGAGUCGGUGACGGCGAGCUAAUCUCUUAAAGCCAAUCUCAGUUCGGAUUGUAGGCUGCAACUCGCCUACAUGAAGUCGGAAUCGCUAGUAAUCGCGGAUCAGCACGCCGCGGUGAAUACGUUCCCGGGCCU